rnacentral:sRNA from 1 species
CAGCCUGUUCGUGACUAUUCCAAAUCCGUUUAAAAAGGGCCGUAUUCGCCCAGCAGGGUUAACGAUCCGCACUAAUACUUCAAUCACUGGCCGCGCAAUCCCCCCAAUGCUCGGCCAGCUGAGGGAGCGAGGAACGUGACCUCAUACUCCUAAUGGUCUUGACCCGGCUCCUCGUGACGCCGG